rnacentral:rRNA from 1 species
UACGUAGGGUGCGAGCGUUACUCGGAAUUACUGGGCGUAAAGAGUGUGUAGGCGGUGCUCUAAGUUCGGUGUGAAAUCUCCCGGCUUAACUGGGAGGGUGCGCCGGAAACUGGAGUGCUCGAGCGUGGGAGAGGAAAGCGGAAUUCCUGGUGUAGCAGUGAAAUGCGUAGAGAUCGGGAGGAACAUCAGUUGCGAAGGCGGCUCUCUGGACCAGCACUGACACUGAGGCACGAAAGCGUGGGGAGCAAACAGG